CCUACGGGUGGCAGCAGUGGGGGAUAUUGCACAAUGGGGGAAACCCUGAUGCAGCGACGCCGCGUGGGUGAAGAAGCGCCUCGGCGCGUAAAGCCCUGUCAGCAGGGAAGAAAAUGACGGUACCUGAAGAAGAAGCCACGGCUAACUACGUGCCAGCAGCCGCGGUAAUACGUAGGGGGCACGCGUAAUGCGGAUUUACUGGGUGUAAAGGGAGCGCAGACGGCGAUGCAAGCCAGGAGUGAAAGCCCGUGGAACAACCCGGGGACUGCUCGUGGAGCUGCGUGGCUAGAGUGCAGGAGGGGCGAGCGGAAUUCCUGGUGUAGCGGUGGAAUGCGUAGAUAUCAGGAGGAACACCGGUGGCGAAGGCGGCCUGCUGGACUGCAACUGACGUAGAGGCGCGAAAGCGUGGGGAGCAAACAGGAUUAGAUACCCGAGUAGUC
rnacentral:rRNA from 1 species